ACUCCAUCUAAGGCUAAAUACUUCCACGAGACCGAUAGCAAACAAGUACCGUGAGGGAAAGUUGCAAAGAACUUUGAAGAGAGAGUUCAAGAGUACGUGAAACCGCUCGUAGGCAAACGGGUGGGCCCUCGAAGGCAAGCAGAAGGGGAUUCAACCCGUUGGCGUUCGGCCGCGCUCCCCGGUUUUUCUCGAAACGGAUCCGAGAGACCGGCCCGGGGUUCCAGCCGCGGUCGCCAGCGGGCGCACUUCCCCUUCUCGCGUCCCGUCUCACGAGGCGGGACCGAACGCCGCGACCGGUCGGGAGAAACGACGGCGGCCAAGCGGCGAGACCGGGCAGGUAUCCUACUCGUCUGUUUUCCGCUCGCGGAGCAGCUCGUAGGAGAUAGCCCGUCUCGACCCGGCUCCGCCGCCCGACCGUGGUCUAGAACCGAGGUUCGACAACCGCGCAAGCGCUCACGACGCUCGAGCCCUUGCCGCACGUCUGUUAGGCCGCCGACAGAUCCAUAUCCCCCCCGCUCACCAGCGGUUAUGCGAAGCGGCCUGCCGGCGUU
rnacentral:rRNA from 1 species